UAGAAGAGUAGUCUACCCAAACCCGACAGGGUUCCCGUACAUGGACCACAAGUGGGGCCACACUUGGAGGAGGAACGCGUGGAGAAUUAGAAGGACACAAUUAUGUUUUUUGCAGAAAUGGGCAUUUGUGCAUGAAAAAUUAGUAAACGGCAACUCCUCUGGUAUGUUACCUGUCUGUCCAUUUCCUACAAUCAGUGACGGUGGAGCCUGCCUCGUAGACUUGAAUAUAUACACACGUGUGAACCCAUACCAACCUUAUGAUCAUAAUGAUGUGCUCCUAAAUUUUCUUUUUGUUUUCAAGACUAUGAUAGAAUUGACAAGACAUGGUACCUCAGCAAACAAGUCUUUUAUUUCUGUAUUCAAGAGGUGCACAAAAAAGUAUCACUAGUGUGCUAGACUGUUAUCACUUUAUCACCAAUGGGACAACUACAGUUAUGGCUAUAACAUCAUAUAUACAUGUACUUUCGAACUAGUUUCACUUCUACAACUACUGUCAUGGCUACAUGCACCUCACUAGUGUGACCUCUGCAAAGCUAUCACACGAUGUAUCUUCUCAUUUUGGUACAUAUUCAACAUCUUGGGGGGGGGGGGUCCUUUAGUUUUCUUCCAAAUCAAGCAAAAAUUGAUGAGCCCACUGAUAUCAUCCAUAGACCUCGUGUGCCCUUAUGAUCCCUUAUCUUCCUUGAGGGACCGGCAUCACUCCCAGCACAUUAGAGGUAUACAUAGUACCGGGGUAUAGUUUGUAGUUACAGCUUUAAUACCAGGCUAAACAAUAGUAGGUGAAGUGAAUUUGUAACUCAAACUUUUUUAUGAUAAGUUAUCAUUGGUGAUAAACAUGAUGGAGUUACAGUAUCAGAACGUAGUUAUUGUUUUGAAGUUAAAGAUCCAUCAGGUAGGUUUCUUGGUUGUGUCAAAAAUAAACAGUGCCCUGCACAUGGUCGUUUUUUUGUCCUGUUUUGACUUGUCCUGUCCGCCCAGCAACUAUAAAUCCAUACCUGGAGCCAAAUCUUGCACGUUCGAAAACAUCAUCGCCUGUUUCAAGCUCGCCUGUUUGUUUAUCUGGAGCAGACCCGAAAACACAUUUCUACCAUCGCCUGUAUUUGUUAGCUCGCCUGUUUGUUGAUCUGGAACAGACCCGAAAACACAUUUCUACCAUCGUCUGUUUUGUACGUCCGGCUGUUUGUUGAUCAGGGACAGACCUCGGGCGUGUGACCUAGAAACCUUUCAAAGGUCAGUGACUCAAUGCUUUCCCCAGGGACCUUAUGGCCAGUUCUUGGAUAAGGCGGAACUGGUUCAAACUGGUUUGAUCCCCCCAGACCUAUGGCUUCUCCAAUCAGGGAGAAGUCUUAAGACAUUUGACCAAUAGGACAAAACUGGCCACCCUCCUGUCAAUCUUCCGAAACUGGGAGGGUCCGGGUAUACACUCCGUUUCUUGUCUGUUGACGAGACAGAAAGAGCGGGGCGUUCUAUGUGUUAACAUCGGGCCUGAGGUCAUCUCAGCUGUAACUUUUCUGGAAGCUACGACUGUAGGUUGGACUCUGUUUCCGCUGCAGAUACAAGGACAUGCGUCACUUCUGACAAGGUAGCAUGGCCACCCGCAGACUUCAGAAGGAAUCACUGCUCAGAGCAUAAAGGUCAACUUCUCCAUGACUCUGGUCGCAAACAGAAUUCACUGGACCCCGGUCACAGAAAAGCUGGGGUGUGUGCUGAUAUCACCCAGGAAAACAAACAAAAAAAGCAAGAAAAGAAAAGAAACCAAUAGAGUAAAAAGUGGCAAAGGUCACCCAAAAACACAUGAUACAAAACACACAAAUAAAACAUAAAACCCUCCAACAAAACAACACGUCUAUCACACAGUAAGAAUACGCAAAAUAAAGGACAGCAUCAUGUAGUCAAAGAAGUCUGUCUGUCUUAAAAAGUCCAAUGUACGGUGAGUUUUAUCUUCGCGUACUUUCUUUAUCAUCGAUGCGUCAGUCAUAGUCUAUAAAGUGACAUCUAAACAAACUGUAUCAGCUACAUGUCCAAACUUAUCAUUCUUCACUGUAAGAAGUUAUAAAUUACCAAAUACAUCGACAAACAUGUGACACGUUGGUCUUUAGUCUCCAGAAAGCUCAUUUGAAAUAUCUUUUAAAAGCUGCAAUAGUGUAUAAAAACUGCCCAAAGAAGCAACUUACAGUUCCUCAACGUUACAUGCAAACGCCCGUCCCGCAAGUUCUUGUCAAAAACGAAUUCCCCAGGGAAUGCGUGCGUGGAAUAUUUAGAAUUCCUGGCAACUCAAUCGCAGUGCUAUAAGAACGGCUCCGCCCCUGAGGCGUCGCCAAAAAACGAU